rnacentral:rRNA from 1 species
UACGGGGGGGGCAAGCGUUGUUCGGAAUUACUGGGCGUAAAGGGCUCGUAGGCGGCCAACUAAGUCAGACGUGAAAUCCCUCGGCUUAACCGGGGAACUGCAUCUGAUACUGGAUGGCUUGGAUUUGGGAGAGGGAUGCGGAAUUCCAGGUGUAGCGGUGAAAUGCGUAGAUAUCUGGAGGAACACCGGUGGCGAAGGCGGCAUCCUGGACCAAUAUUGACGCUGAGGAGCGAAAGCUAGGGGAGCAAACGGG